rnacentral:rRNA from 1 species
GACGAACGCUGGCGGCGUGCUUAACACAUGCAAGUCGAACGGAGUGGCGCACGGGUGAGUAACACGUGGGUGAUCUGCCUUUCACUUCGGGAUAAGCUUGGGAAACUGGGUCUAAUACCCGAUAGUGCAAGAUGAGCUCGCGGCCUAUCAGCUUGUUGGUGGGGUAAUGGCCUACCAAGGCGUCGACGGGUAGCCGGCCUGUGAGGGUGUACGGCCACAGUGGGACGAGGAUACGGGCCAGACGCGAACGGGAGGCAGGAGGGGGAAAGAUUGCACAAGCGGCGGAAGGCUGAUGAAGGGACGCCGGGUGGGGGAUGAAGGCUUUCGGGUGGUAAACUCCUUCCGACAGGGACGCGGUACCUGUAUAAGAAGCACCGGCUAACUACGUGCCAGCAGCCGCGGUAAUAC